CUGGGGGCCCUCUCCCUCGAUGGUGACUCCAUGCAAAGGUGGAGAGCCAUUCAGGAAACCCUGUGAUUGUACCUGUUAGGCAGGAGGGAACUUAUAUUUUUCCUAUUCCUAUAUCCCUGGUUUCUGGAAGUUUCCCGAUAGUGAGAAAUUAGAGAGGAUUAAUUUAUCUUUUCUCCACUCCAUCUGAGUGAGCCCUGGAGUGAAUACAGAGCCUUAACCAUGGAAAGCUGAGACGGGGAGAGGACUCUGCAGCAGGAGUCAGUAGAUGAGGAUUCUCAUCCUGCCACCCACGGUGUGAUUUUAGCAGCUCUCCGGGUUGCCAGGCGUUCCGCUUCCUCCCACCUGCCUCUUUUAGACUCCCCGCCCAGAGCCCUUUAACACUGACUGCCAGUGCAGGUGCUGGUGUAAGAAGCUGGGACUCUGCACACCCUGUGGUCCACGGCUCCUGCAGCGUGGGGCCGAUGUCACCUUCACAGGACUUCCACCCAAGCUUGCAGCCUUGAGACGCUGCCUCCUUCCCCGGCCUGCUCCCCACUCUCUCACAGGCCCCUUCCAAAGGUGCACCGAAGGAACCCUUUCCCGGUUGGCUCACCCUCCCUCUGGCUUCAGCUGAGUGCAACGGGGCUGUGUGCUGUCCACAACCUGAGGCCCUGGGCGUAGGGUGCACACUCAGCACUGGCCCUGCCGUGAAGGCACGCGUAUCCCUCCGCCCUACCUGUGUACAAAGAAAAGAUGCAGCUAUUUCCGAAUCGCUCCCCUCCAAGGACGCCUCUGCUCCCUCUCCGCCUGGCUGACUUUGCAGAGGUUGAAGGGGAAGACCUGGGAAGACACAUGCAAAUGAACCCCGCCUGGCUGCUGGGCAACCAGGGUGCUCAAGAUGCAAACUGAGCUGCAGCAAUAAAGUCAAAAGGAGGAGAAAGAAUGAAAUGACACAAUGCUCUUCACUGCUUAAAAUGAUUAGCAUAUUCCAGCAGCAACUCCUACAGCAGAAGUAUGCCACAUAGUGAUAAUUCUCUGUAUCAGAAGAAUGAGAUCGGGAGUUCGGGACGUUCCUGUUCAUAAAGUUACGUAUCUGUGGGUUCUGUUCUCGAUGAUUUUUCUCCCUAGUCUAUAGUCUGACUAAAAUCCAGCACGAGAAAUGUACAGAAGAGCUCCUGGAAAUGCCUUUUGUUUGAAAACACUGACUGCCUCACAGCUCAGAGCUGAGAACAGUGGACAAGUCUGGCUAUUAAGGAAUAAACCUUGUGAAGCAGUGUCCGCUUCUUGUACAGUGGAGAGUCUGAUUUGGGAUAAUUUGGGAUAUGGGCAAAUAUGUUCACCCACCUUAUUAAAAUGUGUUUAACUUGAUAUUUAUAUGAAACAGUUAUUAAACAUUUGAGA